UCUGUUAUGGACUGAUUGUGUGUUCCAGGAGUUAACACCGUCACUGCCUUGGUGGAGAACAAGAAAGCUCAGCUGGUGGUGAUUGCACACGACGUGGAUCCCAUUGAGCUGGCUGUCUUCUUGCCUGCUCUGUGUC